rnacentral:rRNA from 1 species
AGAGUUUGAUCCUGGCUCAGGAUGAACGCUAGCGGCAGGCUUAAUACAUGCAAGUCGAGGGGCAGCGCAGUGUAGCAAUACAUGGGCGGCGACCGGCAAACGGGUGCGGAACACGUACGCAACCUUCCUUCAAAUGGGGAAUAGCCUUUCGAAAGAGAGAUUAAUACCCCGUAAAAUUUUCUGGUGGCAUCACCGGAUUAUUAUAGCUCCGGCGUUUGAAGAUGGGCGUGCGGCUGAUUAGGUAGUUGGCGGAGUAACAGCCCACCAAGCCAACGAUCAGUAACUGGUGUGAGAGCACGACCAGUCACACGGGCACUGAGACACGGGCCCGACUCCUACGGGAGGCAGCAGUAAGGAAUAUUGGUCAAUGGACGCAAGUCUGAACCAGCCAUGCCGCGUGGAGGAUUAAGGCCCUCUGGGUUGUAAACUCCUUUUAUCUGGGAAGAAAUGCUUUGAUUCUUCGAAACUUGACGGUACCAGAGGAAUAAGCACCGGCUAACUCCGUGCCAGCCGCCGCGGUAAUAC